rnacentral:rRNA from 1 species
CCCUUAGAUGUUCUGGGCUGCACGCGCGCUACACUGAAGCGUUCAACGAGUAUUCACCUUGCCCGGGAGGGUUGGGUAAUCUUUUGAAAACGCUUCGUGAUGGGGAUAGAUUAUUGCAAUUAUUAAUCUUCAACGAGGAAUUCCUAGUAAGCGCGAGUCAUCAGCUCGUGCUGAUUACGUCCCUGCCCUUUGUACACACCGCCCGUUGCUCCUACCGAUUGAGUGAUCCGGUGAAUAAUUCGGACUGCAGCACUGCUUGGUCUCCAGGCUUUGCAGCGGAAAGUUUAGUGAACCUUAUCACUUAGAGGAAGGAGAAGUCGUAACA